rnacentral:rRNA from 1 species
UAGUCUCAAAUCAGGUAGGACUACCCG